rnacentral:rRNA from 1 species
CCUACGGGUGGCAGCAGUGGGGAAUAUUGCACAAUGGGGGAAACCCUGAUGCAGCAACGCCGCGUGAGUGAAGAAGUAUUUCGGGAGGGAAAGCUCUAUCAGCAGGGAAGAAAAUGACAGUACCGGACUAAGAAGCCCCGGAUAACUACGUGCCAGCAGCCGCGGUAAUACGUAGGGGGCAAGCGUUAUCCGGAUUUACUGGGUGUAAAGGGAGCGUAGACGGCUGCGCACGUCAGAUGUGAAAGCCCGGGGCUCAACCGCGGGACUGCUUUUGACACUGUGUAGCUAGAGUGCAGGAGAGGUCAGUGGAAUUCCUAGUGUAGCGGUGACAUGCGUAUAUAUUAGGAGGAACACCGGUGGCGAAGGCGGCUUACUGGACUGUACCUGACGUUGAGGCUCGAAAGCGUGGGGAGCAAACAGGAUUAGAUACCCGAGUAGUC